rfam:Oryza nivara chromosome 9, whole genome shotgun sequence.
AUCCCAUGAUGAGGACAGGCGGCCACGUAUUCCUGAAUUUGUUCCCAUGCUUUAGGAAUGGACUCGUCCCUUGUCUGCUGGAAACUUGGAAUUCUUUCAUGAAGGGC